UAGUCCACGCUGUAAACGAUGAUUACUCGAUGUUGGCAAUACACAGUCAGCGUCCAAGCGAAAGUGAUAAGUAAUCCACCUGGGGAGUACGAUCGCAAGGUUGAAACUCAAAGGAAUUGACGGGGGCCCGCACAAGCGGUGGAGCAUGUGGUUUAAUUCGAUGAUACGCGAGGAACCUUACCAGGGCUUAAAUGCAGAACGACAGAGGUGGAAACACCUCCUUCUUCGGACGGACUGCAAGGUGCUGCAUGGUUGUCGUCAGCUCGUGCUGUGAGGUGUCGGGUUAAGUCCCAUAACGAGCGCAACCCCUAUUUCUAGUUGCUAGCAGGUAAUGCUGAGGACUCUAGAGAAACUGCCCGCGUAAGCGGAGAGGAAGGUGGGGAUGACGUCAAAUCAUCACGGCCCUUACGUCCUGGGCUACACACGUGCUACAAUGGUCGGUACAGAGGGAUGCUAUCUGGUGACAGAACGCAAAUCCUCAAAGCCGGUCUCAGUUC
rnacentral:rRNA from 1 species